AGAUCUUUGAAGGACGGUCCUCUAGGAGGAAGUACUUCUAUCUCUGCGGCUACUUCCUGCCAGGGGUGGUCGUGGCCGUCUCCGCUGCCAUCGACUACAGGGGCUACGGCACCCGGACCGUGUGUUGGCUGCAGAUGGACAACUACUUCAUCUGGAGUUUCCUGGGUCCUGUGUCUGUCAUUAUAAUGCUGAACCUGGUUGUCUUGGUGAUGACUCUUCACAAGAUGGUGCACAGCUCCUCAGCCCUCAAACCCGACUCCAGUCGUCACGACAACCUCAGG